rnacentral:rRNA from 1 species
UGCGUAGGGGGCUAGCGUUGUCCGGAAUCAUUGGGCGUAAAGAGCGUGUAGGCGGCCCGGUAAGUCCGCUGUGAAAGUCGGGGGCUCAACCCUCGAAAGCCGGUGGAUACUGUCGGGCUAGAGUGCGGAAGAGGCGAGUGGAAUUCCUGGUGUAGCGGUGAAAUGCGUAGAUAUCAGGAGGAACACCGGUGGUGUAAACGGCUUUCUGGACCAUAACUGACGCUGAGGCACGAAAGCGUGGGUAGCAAACAGG